rnacentral:ncRNA from 2 species
GGUCAAGAGCGCCAGCGUCAAGUCCGGGCUUGCUGGCCGGCAACCCUCCUCCGCGGCGGGGUGCCCCCGGUUGUGACCAGGCCGCGUCCGGAUGAGCCGGAGCGGCAAGUGCGGACC